GCCGUCAUGGUCCAAUGGUCAAGACACCUCCCUGUCACGGAGAAGACCCGGGUUCAAUUCCCGGUGAUGGCGCCA
rnacentral:tRNA from 2 species